rnacentral:rRNA from 1 species
CCUACGGGACGCAGCAGUGGGGAAUAUUGCACAAUGGGGGGAACCCUGAUGCAGCGACGCCGCGUGGGUGAGGAAGUACUUCGGUAUGUAAAGCCCUAUCAGCAGGGAAGAAAAUGACGGUACCUGACUAAGAAGCCCCGGCUAACUACGUGCCAGCAGCCGCGGUAAUACGUAGGGGGCAAGCGUUAUCCGGAUUUACUGGGUGUAAAGGGAGCGUAGACGGCUGUGCAAGUCUGAAGUGAAAUGCCGGGGCUCAACCCCGGAACUGCUUUGGAAACUGUACAGCUAGAGUGCAGGAGGGGGGA